GCCAGUGUGGUGUACUGGUUUGAGUGCUGGAAUAUGAUUCUGGAGACCAGGGUUCAAAUCCCAGCUCGGCCA
rnacentral:tRNA from 1 species